rnacentral:rRNA from 1 species
UACAGAGGGGGCAAGCGUUGUUCGGAAUUACUGGGCGUAAAGGGCGCGUAGGCGGCCUUCUAAGUCGAACGUGAAAUCCCCGGGCUCAACCCGGGAACUGCGUCCGAUACUGGAAGGCUUGAAUCCGGGAGAGGGAUGCGGAAUUCCAGGUGUAGCGGUGAAAUGCGUAGAUAUCUGGAGGAACACCGGUGGCGAAGGCGGUUCUCUGGGCCUUACCUGACACUGAGGAGCGAAAGCCAGGGGAGCAAACGGG